UACGUAGGCAGCAAGCGUUGUUCGGAGUUACUGGGCGUAAAGAGUAUGUAGGCGGUUGGGUAAGUUUGGUGUGAAAUCUCCCGGCUUAACUGGGAGGGUGCGCUAAAGACUGCCUGGCUCGAGUGUGGGAGAGGAAAGCGGAAUUCCUGGUGUAGCGGUGAAAUGCGUAGAUAUCAGGAGGACCACCUGCGGUGUAGACGGCUUUCUGGACCAUAACUGACGCUGAGAUACGAAAGCGUGGGUAGCAAACAGG
rnacentral:rRNA from 1 species